UAUUGGACAAUGGACCAAAAGUCUGAUCCAGCAAUUCUGUGUGCACGAUGAAGUUUUUCGGAAUGUAAAGUGCUUUCAGUUGGGACGAAGUAAGUGACGGUACCAAAAGAAGAAGCGACGGCUAAAUACGUGCCAGCAGCCGCGGUAAUACGUAUGUCGCAAGCGUUAUCCGGAUUUAUUGGGCGUAAAGCGCGUCUAGGCGGUUUGGUAAGACUGAUGUGAAAAUGCGGGGCUCAACUCCGUAUUGCGUUGGAAACUGCCAAACUAGAGUACUGGAGAGGUGGGCGGAACUACAAGUGUAGAGGUGAAAUUCGUAGAUAUUUGUAGGAAUGCCGAUGGGGAAGCCAGCCCACUGGACAGAUACUGACGCUAAAGCGCGAAAGCGUGGGUAGCAAACAGG
rnacentral:rRNA from 1 species